rnacentral:rRNA from 1 species
AUUGAACGCUGGCGGCAGGCCUAACACAUGCAAGUCGAGCGGAUGAGAGGAGCUUGCUCUUUGAUUCAGCGGCGGACGGGUGAGUAAUGCCUAGGAAUCUGCCUGGUAGUGGGGACGAACGUUUACGUAAGGAACGCUAAUACCGCAUACGUCCUACGGGAGAAAGUGGGGAGUCUUCGGACCUCACGCUAUCAGAUGAGCCUAGGUCGGAUUAGCUAGUUGGUGAGGUAAUGGCUCACCAAGGCGACGAUCCGUAACUGGUCUGAGAGGAUGAUCAGUCACACUGGAACUGAGACACGGUCCAGACUCCUACGGGUGGCAG